rnacentral:rRNA from 1 species
AGUGAACGCUGGCGGCGUGCUUAACACAUGCAAGUCGAACGAGAACGGGUUAUAGCUUGCUAUAAUUGUCAGCUAAGUGGCGCACGGGUGAGUAAUGUAUAGGUAAUAUGCCUCUUACUAAGGGAUAACAAAUGGAAACGUUUGCUAAUACCUUAUACUCCUUAUUAACAGAAGUUAAUAAGGGAAAGAUUUAUUGGUAAGGGAUUAGCCUGUAUUGUAUCAGUUAGUUGGUGGGGUAAUGGCUUACCAAGACUAUGACACAUAACUGGUUUGAGAGGAUGAUCAGUCACGCUGGAACUGAGACACGGUCCAGACUCCUACGGGAGGCAGCAGUGGGGAAUAUUGCACAAUGGACGAAAGUCUGAUGCAGCAACGCCGCGUGGAGGAUGACACAUUUCGGUGCGUAAACUCCUUUUAUAUGAGAAGAUAAUGACGGUAUUAUAUGAAUAAGCACCGGCUAACUCCGUGCCAGCCGCCGCAGUAA